UACGUAGGCAGCGAGCGUUGUUCGGAAUUAUUGGGCGUAAAGAGCUCGUAGGCGGUUUGUCGCGUCUGCCGUGAAAGUCCGGGGCUCAACUCCGGAUCUGCAGUGGGUACGGGCAGACUAGAGUGUGGUAGGGGAGACUGGAAUUCCUGGUGUAGCGGUGAAAUGCGCAGAUAUCAGGAGGAACACCGAUGGCGAAGGCAGGUCUCUGGGCCACUACUGACGCUGAGAAGCGAAAGCAUGGGGAGCGAACAGG
rnacentral:rRNA from 1 species